GCCGUCUUCUUUACUAUCAUCCCAAGAUGUCUGCAAAAGAUAUCAAGUUACUAAAAUAUCCAUUUGCUAUAGAAAUUAGCACAUCAUUUCCCUCUCCAAGCACACAGUCUAGGAGUUAGCUCCCAUUCUGUUCAAGCAGGUACACUGUCAUUAAAACCAGAACCUUUGAGGACUGGAGAUCAGUGUUCUAAAACAUUAUUAAAUAUUGUUUUUAAUAGAGCACAUUGAUAAAAUAACACACAGGAAGCUAUUAGAUAAGAGUAAACCCCCAAACUGUGGAUUUUUGUUAGAGCAAGGGCAGUAAGUGUCACCUCC